UCAUUUCCUUUAUUAAAUUAAAUGCCUUUUAGAAAUAGGCCAAAGGACCAGAAACUAUAGUAUUAUAUUCCAUUAGUAUUCUCUGGACUUAAAACUUUUAUUUUCUCACCCGUAAGAAAGGGGAAAUGUCCAUUGGCUUCAAAUGUCAACAGAAACAAAAAGUCCCCAGAAAGGGACUGGAUGUAAUUCUGCUAUCUGCAGUAUCACCACAAGCCACCACCAAUUACACCUCCCUCCACCCUCUUCCUCUCCCUUGUGGUCCGUUUCUCUUUUCUGCUUCUUGUUGUGUUUGUCCCCCCUCAAACAGGAACAAGCUGAGACGUGUUCCUGUGGCGGAUCACAUUGUUCUCUUUGGAUUUAAUCAUCUAAAAUCAACUGGAGCCGGAGAGAACCCGGUGUACGAGGUCGUUUGAGCAGCAAUCAAGAAAAUAGAUCACUGUUUCAGUGGCUAUUUCUUUUUAAGUUUCCCCCUUCGGAGUCACUUGUUUCUCCAGCUGAAUCACUGCCUUGGCGAGAUAUAGUGAGACCCGUGACUGAGAGUGAAUGGAGCUGCUUUCAGUGAGGGCCAUUGUCGAGGUCAGUGUGACAACAAGAGAUGAGCACUGUGGAGCAACGGACGACGUGAGCGUCCAGCACUGCAUGCACACUCGCAUUCUCAAUUCUCAAAGUGCUUGGAUAUGGAGCUCUAAAUAACAUCACAUCCCCCUCCCCCUGUAAAUAGCAGAGCACGUGUCUUUAACAUGAACAAAAGAAGUGCUGUUUGGGGUGUUAAUCAAAUUUUUUUUUCAAUGGGGUUAACAGAGUUUAGUCAAUAGAAAGACAAUGGUUAAGUUUCUCUAGACGCAUUCCAUGAAAUUAGAUGCUGGGGUACGUGAGGAAUUACAAGAUAACAAGACAAUUGAUAGAUCAACCCAGGAACAACUGAGUCACAUGUCAUACUACGACACACUAUCACAACACAAAGACCAUGCAGUGAUAGUGUGUAUUUGCGCUCCGCAUGCGCGAUGCCAGGAGUGGAAAACCGGUUUCCACACGUGAACAAGUCUUUUUUAUAUUUGCAUAUAUGAGGCUCCUAUGGAAAACCUGCACUGGUGUUGAAUUACCAACCCAAGAUAAGUACUUUGCGUGAGAAAGAAAUUAGUUUCAGGGCUGUGGCGAAUUGUUUUCCGUUUUAGUUCCAUACAUAUCCUACUCAGACAUCCCGGAAUAAGACAAACGUGCUUCUGCUGCAGCCCUUCACUUCAGUCUGUCUUGUUUUGUUUGUUUGUUUUCCUUCUUCUUAUAGACAAAGACACGCAGGGAUCAUUUCCCUCUUUAUUGUCAAAGUAGCAAAAUGGCAUUCUCUUUUAUUCGUCUCACUGUGUCACAGUACUUGCUCUGCAGAACAGUACUGCUUAAAGCUUAUAUGUGGAUAAAAACUUUACACAAACUAUUUAAAAAAAAACACACACA